rnacentral:rRNA from 1 species
UACGUAGGGUGCAAGCGUUGUCCGGAAUUAUUGGGCGUAAAGAGCUCGUAGGCGGUCUGUCGCGUCGGCUGUGGAAACCCGGAGCUCAACUCCGGGCCUGCAGUCGAUACGGGCAGACUGGAGUUCGGCAGGGGAGACUGGAAUUCCUGGUGUAGCGGUGAAAUGCGCAGAUAUCAGGAGGAACACCGGUGGCGAAGGCGGGUCUCUGGGCCGAUACUGACACUGAGAGACGAAAGCUAGGGGAGCGAAUGGG